AUUCCAGCUCCAAUAGCGUAUAUUAAAGUUGUUGCAGUUAAAAAGCUCGUAGUUGGAUUUCUGCCGGGAGCGUCAUGUCUUUCGCCUUGUGCGACUGAACGUUGUCGUCUUUUGGCAUCCUUGCGGAGAUGCGUUUUGGCAUUAAGUUGUCGGGGCGUGGAUUCGCAUCGUUUACUGUGAAAAAAUUAGAGUGUUUAAAGCAGGCAAUUGCUGUGAAUACAUUAGCAUGGAAUAAUAAGAUAGGACUUGUUGCUAUUUUGUUGGUUUGCACGACAAGUAAUGAUUAACAGGAACAGUUGGGAGUAUUCGUAUUUAAUUGUCAGAGGUGAAAUUCUUGGAUUAUGAAAGACGAACAACUGCGAAAGCAUUUACUAAGGAUGUUUUCAUCG
rnacentral:rRNA from 1 species